UACGUAGGAGCGACAGCUGUUCGUCGAAUUAUUGGGCGUAAAGAGCUCGUAGGCGGUCUGUCGCGUCCGUUGUGAAAACUCGAGGCUCAACCUCGGGCUUGCAGUGGAUACGGGCAGACUAGAGUGCGGUAGGGGAGACUGGAAUUCCUGGUGUAGCGGUGGAAUGCGCAGAUAUCAGGAGGAACACCGAUGGCGAAGGCAGGUCUCUGGGCCACUACUGACGCUGAGAAGCGAAAGCAUGGGGAGCGAACAGG
rnacentral:rRNA from 1 species